CAGAGAUCAUGCCACUGCACUCCACCCUGGAAGACAGAGCAAGAUUCGGUCUCAAAAAGAAAAAAACCAGCAAGUCCUUAAUGGAUAACUGCAAGUCUCAUCAACAGCAAUGCUAUUAACUGAACUGGCUCAUCAGUAAUUGACACCCAUGUCUAUCCACUUGCUCAUGCCAAGAUGUAGGCACUUGUAAUUGCAGUCAUACAGAUAUUUGUAUGAUUAUCAACUUAAUGCCUGCAUCUACCACUCUGCUCUAAUCAACAUGACAACAGGGACUGACUCUUUUGUUUGCCACCGUAUCCCCAAGGCUAUCACAAUAUCCAGCAUGAGUGUGUCAGCGCUUUGUUGAAUUAAUUCAUUGGUGAUGGUGGUGCUACUGAUCC
rnacentral:lncRNA from 1 species